rnacentral:rRNA from 1 species
CAGUCGCCGCGGUAAUACGUAGGUGGCAAGCGUUGUCCGGAAUUAUUGGGCGUAAAGGGCUCGCAGGCGGUUUCUUAAGUCUGAUGUGAAAGCCCCCGGCUCAACCGGGGAGGGUCAUUGGAAACUAGGAAACUUGAGUGCAGAAGAGGAGAGUGGAAUUCCACGUGUAGCGGUGAAAUGCGUAGAGAUGUGGAGGAACACCAGUGGCGAAGGCGACUCUCUGGUCUGUAACUGACGCUGAGGAGCGAAAGCGUGGGGAGCGAACAGGAUUAGAUACCCCUGUAGUCCCUGUCUCUUAUAC